GAUGAACGCUGGCGGCGUGCCUAAUACAUGCAAGUCGAGCGAACGGACGAGAAGCUUGCUUCUCUGAUGUUAGCGGCGGACGGGUGAGUAACACGUGGAUAACCUACCUAUAAGACUGGGAUACUUCGGGAAACCGGAGCUAAUACCGGAUAAUAUUUUGAACCGCAUGGUUCAAAAGUGAAAGACGGUCUUGCUGUCACUUAUAGAUGGAUCCGCGCUGCAUUAGCUAGUUGGUAAGGUAACGGCUUACCAAGGCAACGAUGCAUAGCCGACCUGAGAGGGUGAUCGGCCACACUGGAACUGAGACACGGUCCAGACUCCUACGGGAGGCAGCAGUAGGGAAUCUUCCGCAAUGGGCGAAAGCCUGACGGAGCAACGCCGCGUGAGUGAUGAAGGUCUUCGGAUCGUAAAACUCUGUUAUUAGGGAAGAACAUAUGUGUAAGUAACUGUGCACAUCUUGGCGGUACCUAAUCAGAAAGCCACGGCUAACUACGUG
rnacentral:rRNA from 1 species